rnacentral:antisense_RNA from 1 species
AGUCAUGAUUACUAUUCCCUUAAAUAGUGAUUGUGAUUAGCGGUGCGGGUAUGUUGGCGCAUAUCCGCAUCGCGU